UCUAUCCAAGUGGCCCUCUGUUCCCCCCAACACCACCUCUCUUCCUCCACAACACACAUUGUGUGUGCUUUUUUAAACAGGCGGUAAGGCAAGGGUUAACACACCAGUGACAGCCACUUCCGAGAUAGCAUUUCGACAUCAUGUUUUAUGAGUAAAGCACGUCUUAAAAAAAAAUUGACUAAGUGUGGGCGCAGGCUAAUUAGCAGCAAAACCCUUCAGUGUGUGCGAGCAGGGAUCCUUCGGAGCUGAAAACCAGCCUUUUUUUUUUAUAAAGCCUGUUAUUCCUUUUCAACUGCAAUCUCGGUGAUUAAGAUGCCUUUGGGAGUUGAAUUUCUGGGAAUAGAUUGCAGAAGUUUAUUCCUCAGCUGGUUUCCAAUAAUGAUCAUCAGACAAUUAAUCUUUUACUCAUCUGUUCCCCACCUGACAAAUUCCCCCACUGUGAUUGUGAUGGUGGGAUUACCAGCUCGAGGGAAGACCUAUAUUGCUAAGAAACUGACUCGCUACCUCAACUGGAUUGGAGUCCCGACUAAAGUCUUUAAUGUUGGAGAAUACCGUCGAGAGGCUGUAAAAUGGUACCGUUCUUAUGAUUUCUUCCGGCAUGACAAUGAAGAUGCAAUGAAGAUUAGAAAGCAGUGUGCCUUAGCGGCUUUAAGAGACGCAAAAUCCUACCUGACUGAGGAAGGUGGUCAAAUUGCAGUUUUUGAUGCUACAAAUACCACAAGGGAGAGGAGAGAGAUGAUCCUAAACUUUGCCAAAGAAAAUGAAUGGAAGGUAUUUUUUGUGGAAUCUGUUUGUGAUGAUCCAAGUGUAGUGGCUGCAAAUAUUAUGGAUGUGAAAGUAUCCAGUCCAGAUUAUAUGGAUUGUAACAGAACAGAUGCAAUGGAAGACUUCCUGAAGAGAAUUGAAUGCUAUAAAGCAACGUACCAGCCCUUGGACCCAGAUCAUUAUGACAAGGAUCUGUCGUUCAUCAAAGUGAUUAAUGUCGGCCGGAGGUUCCUUGUAAACAGGGUCCAAGGCCACAUCCAGAGCAAAAUAGUUUAUUACCUGAUGAAUAUUCAUAUCCAGCCUCGGACAAUUUACUUGUGUCGCCAUGGGGAAAGCGAAUACAAUCUCCAAGGCAGGAUUGGCGGUGACUCUGGUCUCUCGUACAGGGGAAAGAAGUUUUCCUCCGCACUAAGCACCUUCCUGGAGGAGCAGAAUCUUAAGGAUCUGAAGGUGUGGACCAGCCAAUUAAAGCGAACCAUACAAACGGCAGAGGUUUUGGGUGGUCGAUAUGAGCAAUGGAAAGCUCUGAAUGAAAUAGAUGCUGGUGUAUGUGAGGACCUGACGUAUGAAGAAAUAAAGGAACAGCACCCUGAGGAAUAUGCAUUACGUGAACAAGACAAAUAUUAUUACCGCUACCCAACUGGUGAGUCCUACCAAGACUUGGUGCAGCGUUUGGAACCAGUCAUCAUGGAACUGGAGAGACAGGGAAAUGUCUUGGUCAUCUGCCACCAGGCUGUGAUGCGUUGUCUCCUUGCUUAUUUUCUAGAUAAAAGUGCAGACGAGCUGCCAUAUCUAAAGUGUCCUCUUCACACAGUAUUAAAAUUGACUCCAUUUGCUUAUGGCUGUAAGGUUGAGUCUAUCUUUUUAAAUGUGGAAGCAGUAAACACACACAGAGAUCGACCAGAGGACAUUGGUAAGAAGGGAUCUAACCCACUCAUGCGUCGCAAUAGUGUUACCCCUCUGGCAAGCCCAGAACCCAACAAAAAGCCGAGGAUUGAAGGCCUAGAUGACCAUGUGGCCUCCUCUUCCUCAGCCAUGCCCGUCUGCCUGGCCUCUGAAGUGUCCACACCCCUGCCUGGACAAUACAGAUGAUGGGCGGAAUGGAUUGCUGGUUUCAGUAUGACCCUGAAUGGAGGAAGAAAGAAAGGAGACCACUUUUUGAGUCCUGCAGUAGCAAUUUUCCCUGCAGUUUGUGCAAUACAAUUGGUACUGGAGGGUUGCACAAGGAUAUAGUCCUUUUCACAUUCCAGGGAUCUGUAUUCAAAUAAAACAAAACUGUGGAUGCCGAAGAUCUGAAACGCACCAAAACAGGAAUUGCUGGAGAAACUCAGCAGAUCUAGCAGCAUCUAUGGAGGGGAAAAAAGAUAGUGAAUGAGAUGCCAAGAUCUUCGGAGGCUGUGUGACCAUCUCCCUCGUACCAAGAAUGAAAACCUUCCUUUCAAUUUUUUAAAAAUUAUGAAGCUGCAUAUGCUUUGAUCCACCCCUUCACUGGCCCAAAACUUCCAUUAUUAAAAGGUACUGGAUUCCUUUGCGUGAAUCUCUGGUUGUCGGUUUCUUCAAGUGAUUCACUGGAGAGAUGAAAGAUUUACGGAUUGCAGACUUCACCAGAAAGGACAUUGACUAUUCUCACUGUUGACUGUAAUUUGAAUGUCUUGCUACUGUAAUAAUGUGCAAGUGCUUUUAGUGAACAAAACUUGUUCUUCUGUUUGUAAAUACCUAGUAAAUCUCGUUGGAGGGAUAUAUUGAAGUGCGUGUGCGCGUGUGUGCGUGUGUGCGAUGUAAAUAGUUGCCUAAUGAGGGUUGAAUCUGGAUUCCCUAUGCUUUGGUGUGCAUGAAUCCAUGCAAUCUUUUAAAUGUAUGAAUGUUUCUGGUCCUGAAAUUGACACUAUGAUAACACAGAUGAUUUGUGACCAGUCGAAAUUCAUAAUGCUGGAAUUCAUGUUCACAAAGUUGGCACACUGGUACCUAAAAUAAGUGGCCAAAUAUUGUAUCUGGGGCAGAAUAAGGCUGGGGUUGCCAUUUGACCAAAUUUGUUUUUAAUUAUUUGUUUUUCUCUUUUUGUCAGCAUUUCACAGAAAUGAUUUGAAAUACCAGAUGUUGUUUCUUUUGAUUUAUGAUGGUUCCCAGGCUUGUAAUUACAUCCUGGAGUUACAAACAUAGUGCGACAGACCAGACCUGUCAAACUACAAGUAAUUGUUUUCAGAGUACCUGUUUGCACAUCGCUGUGAAAAGCCAUCUUUCUUUUUCAUAAAAUGUUAAUAACUUGAUGGCUUUCCAGUUCAGCUUACAUUUGGAGAAGAUGCAUGCUCAGCACUUGAACAGGGAAGGUAUUCAUUCCUAAAAUGUUGAAGGGCACCAUUGAAACUUCCAUGUUUGUGGUCCUGCUUCUUAAUCCCAUAAAACGGUAUGGACUCGGUCACUUGUAUGAAUUGGUGGUGAUGUCUCUGGAAUCCAGUUUUGGAUGUGAGAACCUACCUUUUUAUUUCUUAAUUACACUCUUGGGCCACAAUUUAGUGCUGGCCUUUGUAGUCUCUGCUAAUGGAACAAUGUCACCUUCGUGGUCAGGCUUUGUAAUGUAACCAUUCAGAACAAGAUUUAAUGACUUCAAAUGAAAUUUGUUACCAAAUGCAUUGAGCUACCAGAAUAUUUAACUGUUCCAUCUGAUGUCUGCUGUUUAUUGAUUAGCUGUGCUACUGGUUUUGGAGCAGCCAAGGAUUCUGAUAUUACCAAAGGAUCUAGUUUUGUUUGCUGUGCUCCAAGUCUUUCGGUUAACUCUGUUACAUUAGCUGACGCGUGGGAUGAUAAAACCGCAGUGCCUCGUGCGUUUGUCUUGCACAGCAUAAAUCUUGCGUUUAGCUGUAUUGGUGAGGAAGCUUGAAGCUGUACUUGACAUGUAGUCUACCAGCAUGAUAUCGACAUUCUACCCCCUAUUUUGAGAGAAAUGCGUUGUUGCACAAGUUUUAUUUAUCUGAUUUUGUUUUUGGUUCAGAGGGAUUGGUUUUAGUGGGUGUUUUUUAAACCAGUUAGAAUAAGGGUUUCUUCUGCUGACUGCAGCUUUAGUGAGUAUUGGAUUCCAAAGCAUUCACCAAAGCAUUUCUGUCAUAAUGUUCUCAUUCCAAUUGAAUGGCAUCAUUAUUUUCUGACCUUAAAGUGGAUCGGUAAACCCUGUGUGGAUAGGCUUGGGGACAAACUGAGCAAGCUGUUUGGUUUUUAUUUUGUAGUUUAUUGUUGAAUGAAUGUUAGGUUUUUUUGUAUUUUUAUAGUACUGAUUCUGUUCUGACACAAAUUUAUUUAAGAUGCUAGUUCAGAGUUUGGAAAAGACCUUGUCCAUCUCAGUGUGGCAUGUUGCAUCUUCUGUGUGUGCAUGUAUGUAGGUAUACAUUACCUUCUUUCCUGAGGGGAAAAUAGCUAGGUCAUACCAGCAGAAGUAUACAGGGUACAUCUUUCUGAUUAUGUAUAUUUUGCAUUUGCUGGACCAAUAAUAAAAACUUAACUUAAAAUAAAA